rnacentral:rRNA from 3 species
AGACCUCUGAUCAGAAAAGACUACCCGCUGAGUUUAAGCAUAUCACUAAGCGGAGGAGAAGAAACUAACCAGGAUUUCCCUAGUAACGGCGAGCGAACCGGAAAGAGCCCAGC